UUGCACUCUGCUAUGUCCCCUCAGCUAGACAGGUGUCAUGUAGGUAUUAUGAAUAGUUCAUCAAUAUUAAGAACAUCAGUUACUUCUCAAUACCAAAGAUACAUUGCAAUUAGAUUAAUACAAACAGCAAAAAGAAAAUGGCUAAUAUUCAACAUCCUUUUCUCUUUAGUUGUCAGUUCUUUAUUUUCCUAAAAGUUGGCUUGUUUACUGAACAAGACUUGUUUAUUUUUCUUCCAACUCUGUCUGCCACAGGCCAUUUUCACAACCUGUAAUUCUUUUGGCUUUAACACAUAUUUGUGGCUAUUUUUAAGUGAUAAUUGCUUCUUCAUCACCAUUUUUCCCCCAUCUCACUUGUGCUUUAAGUCUCUAAGCUCUGAAAUUCUCUCCACUAAAGCAGCUUGUUGGUUUCUAGAGUAACCAGGUCCUGCUGCAUUCCUUCCCUCCAUGCCUCUGUCCACCUCUUUUCAUGAUUGUCCUAAAAUACUAUGCAUCAGAAAUAUGCUUAGCAGUAAAACUCAACUCUCUUACAUUGCAGAUGGGGACAAAAAAUGGAAAACAGUUUGUCAGUUCCUUUUAAGCUUAAAUAUACAAUUUCCUUAUGACCAACCACCCUGGGUACUACCCUAAAGAAAUAAAAUCUGGUGUUGGCACAUAAACCUGUUCACAAAUGUUUAUGGCAG
rnacentral:lncRNA from 1 species